rnacentral:rRNA from 1 species
GACGAACGCUGGCGGCGUGCUUAACACAUGCAAGUCGAACGGAAAGGCCCCUUUGGGGGUACUCGAGUGGCGAACGGGUGAGUAACACGUGAGUAACCUGCCCUUGACUUCGGGAUAACUUCAGGAAACUGGGGCUAAUACCGGAUAGGAAUCCUUGCUGCAUGGUGGGGGUUGGAAAGCUUCGGCGGUUUUGUAUGGACGCGCGGCUUAUCAGCUUGUUGGUGGGGUAGUGGCUUACCAAGGCUUUGACGGGUAGCCGGCCUGCGAGGGCGACCGGCCACAUUGGGUCUGAGAUACGGCCCGGACUCCUACGGGAGGCAGCAGUGGGGAAUAUUGCACGAUGGGCGGCAGCCUGAUGCAGCAACGCCGCGUGCGGGAUGACGGCCUUCGGGUUGUAAACCGCUUUCAGCAGGGGCGAAGCUUGUGGUGACGGUACCUGCAGAAGAAGCACCGGCUAACUACGUG